CCUACGGGAGGCAGCAGUGAGGAAUAUUGGUCAAUGGACGAGAGUCUGAACCAGCCAAGUAGCGUGAAGGAUGACUGCCCUAUGGGUUGUAAACUUCUUUUAUAUGGGAAUAAAAUGUUCCACGUGUGGGAUUUUGUAUGUACCAUAUGAAUACGGAUCGGCUAACUCCGUGCCAGCAGCCGCGGUAAUACGGAGGCUCCGAGCGUUAUCCGGAUUUAUUGGGUUUAAAGGGUGCGUAGGUGGAUUGUUAAGUCAGUUGUGAAAGUUUGCGGCUCAACCGUAAAAUUGCAGUUGAAACUGGCAGUCUUGAGUACAGGAGAGGUAGGCGGAAUGCGUGGUGUAGCGGUGAAAUGCUUAGAUAUCACGAAGAACUCCGAUUGCGAAGGCAGUUCACUGGACUGCAACUGACACUGAGGCUCGAAAGUGUGGGUAUCAAACAGGAUUAGAUACCCCGGUAGUC
rnacentral:rRNA from 1 species